AAACGAACGAACUGUACAAUACUACAGAUGAGAUACUUUGCAUAUAUUAUCCGAUAUUUAGUUAAUUUAUACUAUGCAAAAAUUAAAUAUGAAACCGUGAAAUACGAUAUUAUGUGUCAAAUAUAAGGAAACAUAAUCCAGAUCAGCCUUCGAUCCCAUAUUCCUUCCUGAAACAACUUCUUCCGGUCACCGAACUAUUAACUACAAGACUAUUGCUUCGACUGUUCAUUUCAUAAGUCAAACCAAGGCUGCGACUUCGUCAAAAACAGUAGCCUAAGUAAAUUAUACCACCUUAUCAGGAAUACGUUAAUAUAAUACUUGCAUGGAUCUAGGAACUCGAGCUGUAAAUUCACAUUUAAAGUUUCAGUAGUCUUCAGUUUUAUGUUCAGGGUAGUACUUUGUUUUCAGGAAUGUUUUCAAAGUGCUGCUAUGUAUCAGUCAAUAGUCAUAAUUUGCAAAAUGUCAAAUGACAGUUCACCUGACCUAACAUUCAAAAACUGAAACAAGAUAUACGUCAG